rnacentral:rRNA from 1 species
GACGAACGCUGGCGGCGUGCCUAACACAUGCAAGUCGUGCGAGAAAGUUCCUUCGGGAGCGAGUAAAGCGGCGCACGGGUGAGUAACACGUAGGUAACCUGCCCCCCAGUCUGGAACAACUAGAGGAAACUCUAGCUAAUGCCGGAUGAGACCACGAUCCCUUCGGGGUUGCGGCCAAAGAUGGCCUCUACUUGUAAGCUAUCGCUGAGGGAUGGGCCUGCGGCCAUUAGCUUGUUGGUGAGGUAACGGCUCACCAAGGCUGUGAUGGCUAGCUGGUCUGAGAGGAUGACCAGCCACACUGGGACUGAGACACGGCCCAGACUCCUACGGAGGCAGCAGUGGGAAUA